CAAAACAUUAAAGUAUUGAUUAUUUUACAGAUUUAUUUAACUGUAGAAAAUGUGAAUCCUACAGUGAGUUAAACCUUCAUCCUGGCUUCUUUAUUGUAUAAAGUGAGGAAUGGCCGGUGUGUCUGGAACCGGGGAUAGUUCUUCU